GUGGGUANAGCAGAGGACUGAAAAUC
rnacentral:tRNA from 1 species